rnacentral:rRNA from 1 species
AUUGAACGCUGGCGGCAGGCCUAACACAUGCAAGUCGAGCGGAUGAAGGGAGCUUGCUCCUGGAUUCAGCGGCGGACGGGUGAGUAAUGCCUAGGAAUCUGCCUGGUAGUGGGGGAUAACGUCCGGAAACGGGCGCUAAUACCGCAUACGUCCUGAGGGAGAAAGUGGGGGAUCUUCGGACCUCACGCUAUCAGAUGAGCCUAGGUCGGAUUAGCUAGUUGGUGGGGUAAAGGCCUACCAAGGCGACGAUCCGUAACUGGUCUGAGAGGAUGAUCAGUCACACUGGAACUGAGACACGGUCCAGACUCCUACGGGAGGCAGCAGUGGGGAAUAUUGGACAAUGGGCGAAAGCCUGAUCCAGACAUGCCGCGUGUGUGAAGAAGGUCUUCGGAUUGUAAAGCACUUUAAGUUGGGAGGAAGGGCAGUAAGUUAAUACCCUGCUGUUUUGACGUUACCAACAGAAUAAGCACCGGCUAACUUCGUG